rfam:Ovis aries breed Texel chromosome 3, whole genome shotgun sequence.
UCCCUGGUGGUUCAGAGGGUAAAGCACCUGCCUGUGAUGCAGGAGCCCCAGGUUUGAACCCUGGGUCGGGAA